rnacentral:rRNA from 1 species
GACGAACCGUGCGAACGUUGUUCGGAAUCACUGGGCUUAAAGGGCGCGUAGGCGGGUGUGCAAGGCUGCGGUGAAAGCCUCCAGCUUAACUGGAGAAGUGCCGUGGAUACUGCAUAUCUUGAGGAGGGUAGGGGCAUCUGGAACAUUGGGUGGAGCGGUGAAAUGCGUUGAUAUCCAAUGGAACUCCGGUGGCGAAGGCGAGGUGCUGGACCCUUUCUGACGCUGAGGCGCGAAAGCCAGGGGAGCAAACGGG